rnacentral:rRNA from 1 species
UUGACCUCGGAUCAGGUCCCCAGGGAUACC